GAGGUGAAAAGAGGAGGGACGGAGCGAGGGAGAGGUGAGGAGAGGAGGGACGGAGCGAGGGAGAGGUGAAAAGAGGAGGGACGGAGCGAGGGAGAGGUGAGGAGAGGAGGGACGGAGCGAGGGAGAGGUGAAAAGAGGAGGGACGGAGCGAGGGAGAGGUGAGGAGAGGAGGGACGGAGCGAGGGAGAGGUGAAAAGAGGAGGGACGGAGCGAGGGAGAGGUGAGGAGAGGAGGGACGGAGCGAGGGAGAGGUGAAAAGAGGAGGGACGGAGCGAGGGAGAGGUGAGGAGAGGAGGGACGGAGCGAGGGAGAGGUGAAAAGAGGAGGGACGGAGCGAGGGAGAGGUGAGGAGAGGAGGGACGGAGCGAGGGAGAGGUGAAAAGAGGAGGGACGGAGCGAGGGAGAGGUGAGGAGAGGAGGGACGGAGCGAGGGAGAGGUGAAAAGAGGAGGGACGGAGCGAGGGAGAGGUGGGGAGAGGAGGGACGGAGCGAGGGAGAGGUGAGGAGAGGAGGGACGGAGCGAGGGAGAGGUGAGGAGAGGAGGGACGGAGUGAGGGAGGGGUGAAGAGAGGAGGGACAGAGCGAGGGAGAGGUGAAGAGAGGAGGGACGGAGCGAGGGAGAGGUGAAGAGAGGAGGGACGGAGUGAGGGAGGUGUGAAGAGAGGAGGGACAGAGCGAGGGAGAGGUGAAGAGAGGAGGGACGGAGCGAGGGAGAGGUGAAGAGAGGAGGGACGGAGCGAGGGAGAGGUGGGGAGAGGAGGGACGGAGUGAGGGAGAGGUGAAGAGAGGAGGGACGGAGCGAAGGAGAGGUGGGGAGAGGAGGGACGGAGCAAGGGAGAGGUGAGGAGAGGUGGGACGGAGUGAGGGAGAGGUGAGUAGAUGAGCGAGAGGUGAGAGGUGAAGAGGGAGGACAGAAGAUUAGAGAGGGAGAGAGGAGAGGGAGGACAGAAGAUUAGAGAGGGAGAGAGGAGAGGGAGGACAGAAGAUUAGAGAGGGAGAGAGGAGAGGGAGGACAGAAGAUUAGAGAGGGAGAGAGGAGAGGGAGGACAGAAGAUUAGAGAGGGAGAGAGGAGAGGGAGGACAGAAGAUUAGAGAGGGAGAGAGGAGAGGGAGGACAGAAGAUUAGAGAGGGAGAGAGGAGAGGGAAGGAAAGAUGAGGAGAUGGAACAAAGACAGAAGUGAAGAAAUGAGAAAAGAAACAGAAGAGAUCAUAAAAGAAAGGCGAUUUGAGGACUAUAAGUUUAGAAUGAGAGCUAUCUCCAUCAUCUCAGCAAUGUAGUUACAUAUCCCCA